UGAGAGAAUGUUUACAACAGGAUUAUAGAGGUCGAUAUUAUGAAGACUUUUAUAGGGUUGCUUGCCAGAAUGAAAAAUUUGAUGAUUGGAGCACGAUGUUGGUUCAGUUACGUAAAUUGUUUGCUGGAUAUUUAAAAGUUGUUUUAGAAUAUCACUCAAAACCUGGAAUUACCAUACCUGCUAGUACGAAUAGCACAGCUGCCCAAGGAAAUUUUUUAGAAGUUCUUAAUAUGUCUCUAAAUGUUUUUGAAAAACAUUAUCUCGAUCGCAGUUUCGAUAGAACAGGUCAAUUAAGCGUUGUUGUAACACCUGGUGUUGGCGUUUUUGAAGUUGAUCGAGAAUUAACUAACGUUACCAAACAGAGAAUUAUCGAUAAUGGUGUUGGAAGUGAUUUGGUUUGUGUUGGGGAACAACCUUUACAUGCGGUACCUCUGCUGAAGGUAUUUUUACUUUAUUUUA